ACAGCGAUAGCUCAGCAGCACAGCACCUGCUUCGCGUGCAGAAGGUCCCAGGUUUAAUCCCUGGCCGCUGGG